rnacentral:lncRNA from 1 species
GUUCUUUGACGUUGGAGUUUGAUUGGCCAGCUGUUUCUAUUGGCGUCACUGCGCCGCCAGCUGAUCGCAGUGAGAAGCCGGUUUGAAGGGAGUUGGACUAGAAAGAACCAAGACGCGGCGAUAGAGCAACUUGCUGUUUGGGGAACCGCUAGGAAACUGGGAAGUGAAACUGGGGCGGUAUCUUCGUUUUUACGGAUUAAGUUACAAUGUAGCGCGUCCUAAUAGAUACAAGAGUGGUAGCUGAAUAGUUGUACGUGCAUUUUAAACUAGAGCUAUAAUAGAUGCGUUUCGUCCAUUACUAGAACUGUCAGAUUUGAUUGAGAGAGUUAAGGUGUGGCUGUCUUCAAAACGUUUUUUCUUCUUCAAGGCUUUCCUCUGAACUAAAUGCUUAUAAUAAUAAAGCUUGACAUAUUUACAGUGAGAAGUAGCCUAGCUGAUCGAUUUUCAACAUUAAUGGCGCAUUUGAAAAAGGAACCAUUCGAUUAUACGACCUAGAGUGCCACCUCGACAAGGAUAAUAUGCAUUAUUCUAAACAUUACGGAUGGAGUCUAUUCUGCUAUUAUUUGGAUGAUUAUAACAAGUAUUUAAUAAUCGUGUAGGUUAAUUCGCUGUAUAAUGUUUUGAAAUGGAUGUGGCAACUUUACGGUAGUAUCGCAUUCUACAUAUGAAAGGUAAAUCAACGGACCUGUGGGGGAGUAGGCCUACUCGGUGAUAUAGAGCUAUUCUCGCACGAUAAUCGAUUUAAAAAGAAACAUCUUUAGAUUUUUUUCCUUUAUGAUCAAUGGCGAUACUUGUAACUAGUCUACUGCCAUUUUGAGUCCCACCGAGGAAAGAAGUUAGUCUAACCUACAGAAAAAAGAGAGAAUUGUGGAGCGAAUGCCUCAAGGCCCCACCCUUUACAGCGAAACAUGGAUGUGGAUCACAAUUUUCCCCAGAAGUUUCUUGUUUCCCGUUUUCCUCUCUCUAACUUUACGUUGCCAAGUGUGUAGCCAUAGGCCCUGCUUUAAGUGGAGAGAGCCUGUAACCUCCAUAUAAACUGGCUGGCAACCCCCUAAAGAUCAAGCUGCAGGAUCUUCAUUCAAGCUCCAAUCAGUCUCCCUUCCUUUGAUCAAGAUUCCACCUCUGCCCACCCUGAUGGCCAAAGAUGAAGAAGAUGUAGCGUAGUGUGUGUGUGUGUGUGUGUGUGUGUGUGUGUGUGUGUGUGUGUGUGUGUGUGUGUGUGUGUGUGUGUGUGUGUGUGUGUUUGUACAUGUUGCGUGGGUGCUCACUGGCUGACCCACAGCAGUUCUUCACUGGCAAGCUUUAUGUCCUUGUGUACCAACUAAAGCUGCCAGCUGAAGAACUGUUGUGGUUAGCUCUUUCCUGCAUCCCACACAGAAGACCAACAGACGCCUUCGAGAAAUGUGUGUGUGUGUCCAGAUGCCAUGUAUCGGAUCAGUGAAUUCUCCAUCCAGAUGUUCCAUUUUGCAGCCAAUGGUAGCAGUGUACAGUAUAUUUAGAGGUAAAUACAGCACACGUGAAGAUUAGGCUAAACAGAAUAACUAGCUAUCCAAGACAAAAGGUCUCAGUUAAAAACACAUGAACCCACUGCACUCAAAUGUAAUGUUUUCAUUAAGUCUUCUGCUCAUGUCACAGAGCUAAUGAAGGCUCCAAGUAUGAAAAAUGCUUACAAACUAUGAAAUAUGUUUACUAAGUCUGAAGUUUGCUUACUAAAUAUCAAGUAUGGUCCCAAAGUAUGAGGUACGCUUGAAGUAUGCUUACUGAAGACAGAUUUGACUAUAUGUGUGCUGUAUUUUGCUCUAUUUACACUAUAUUGUAUUUAGUUUUAUGUAUGUAUACUCAACAGAGUUGUAUGCUUUCAUGUACAAUGUGAGCUCUUUUAAACCACACUAUCAGCAUCAACUGCCCCCACAAAUGGCUGCUUUAUUCUACUCAGGCAUUAACAAAGACGACUGCACAUUGAUGCUACUGUACAUGCUGAGUCAGCCAACAUUCCACACCCCAGCCAGGACCCGCCUGCUGCCCUUAUAUGGGUUGAAGCUGCAUGGUGGGGCAUCAUGGGUGCUUCAUUGUAUAUCAGAACAAAACAUCUCUAGAAUAAUUUCUUAUGCUACUCAAAAACAACAAAAAGUAGAAGGAUAGGAAGGUAGAUGGACUGGCUACUCAAAAGCUAGCAGUGUGUAAAAGCAUAGAAUGAUUGAACGAUACAGUAUGAUAGAUUGGGGAAAGGAUAGAAGGAAAGACCGAGGGAAGGUUAGGAGGAUAGAUGGAGGGAAGGUUAGGAGGAUAGAUGGAUGGAUGAAAGGGAAAGAAGGAGGGAGGGAGAACAAGGCAAGGACAUACGACAAACAGCUGGACAAAACCAGCCUCCUGACAUGCUGGUAAAGGCAAUUUGUGACAUUGUUCUAGACUUUGCUGUGCUGUUUGUCUCAAACCAUGACUGCUCAGGCCCUCUCUGUUCCCUUUCUCUCUCCCUCUCUCUUCUCUUUCUCUCUCUCCUCACUUUCUAUGUGUGUGUCUCUCUCUAACUCUUUCUAUUUGACUCUUUCUCUCUCUCUCUUUCUCUUUCUCUCUCUCUCCCUCUCUCUUUGUUACACACCCCCACAUACGCACACACACACAGCAUACAAUAAAUCUGACUUCAAGGGCGGUGUUGGCGUCGGCAAGAACAGGAUAUGAGAGCGUGUCCCUCUAAAAACCUUCCCCUCCAGAUGAGAACAAAGGUAGAGAAUGUUCCAGAUUCCCUGGCCGCUGCAGUCUAGGAACAUGUGGAGCCAAGAGUUGGCCAACGAGCAGUCCUUAUCUUUUCCCCCUUCUUUCCAUGCAUUUUCUCUCUGUUGUCUAGCUUGUCCAUCUCUGUUUUUGGCCUCUUGGUAAGCUAGCUUUUUGUUUUGUACUAUUAUCUCUUUGUUAGUGUAUCUGCUUCAAUCUCCUUAUCUUGUUGUCUUGUCACUCUUCUCAUUCUUUCUCCCCUCUUCUGUCUAGCAUCCCUCUUAAAACACACACAAAGACACACAAACAUAGAGGUACAGAGAGACAAACUCACACACACACAGAGACAGAAAGCGACACACACACAGAGACAGAGCGACACACACACACACACACACACACACACACACACACACACACACACACACACACACACACACACACACACAUACACAGAGACAGAGAGCAACACACACACAGAGAGCAACACACACACACACACACACACACACACACACACACACACACACACACACACACACACACACACACACACACACACACACACAUCCCUCAGACAGGAUUAUCCCACUCUCACAAGUUGAUCCUCUCUGGUAAGCACUGCCAGUCCCCUGUGAGCAUGUAACAGAAGCACUGCAGUCAGGGCAAGGCUGUGACCUAGAGAGUAGUGUGUUUGUGUGUCUGCGUCUCUGUUUGUGUGUGUGUAUUCCUCUGUGUGUGUGUGUGUGUGUCCCGCUGUGUGUUUGGGUGUGUGUGUGUCUCCCGCUGUGUGUUUGUGUGUGUGUGUCUCCCGCUGUGUGUUUGUGUGUGUCAGGUCACAGGCCAAGGUCUCCUACCUGAUCCGCUCUGAGGGAAUCGGCCUGCGAGUACAUUAAGAGAUUGCGGUGGGGCGCCGAGCCGAGGCUCACUGGCUCGACUUAAAGACAUACACACAUAAUCCUGGCUGCUCUGCUCCACCUAACAAGGAUACACGUGGCAGGUGUGUCUUUCAGGGUGUGUGUGUGUGUCUGUCAGUGUCUGUCAGUGUGUUUGUGUGUAUCGUCUCUGAGCUUUACCCCACCUAUGCCCUCUCAGGCGUGCCCCUGUCCUUGGGCACCCUUACCCACCCUAAAGUCACUUCAUCUGCCAACUGGAUAAAGAUAGAGAGGGGUACACAGAGACGAGAGAGAGGGGUACACAGAGAUGAGAGAAAGAGGGGAUACACAGAGACGAGGGAGAGAGAGAGACCGACAGAUGGAGGGAGAGAGGGAAGCAAACAGUAGAGAGACGUGACAGGACAGAGGUUACCCAACACCAUCAUGCCAUCCUGCCCAGCCUGAUCACACAAAGCACAGUCAAAGCACACCAACACCUAACCAUGCACUUUAACUAUGGAGGCUUGAGAUCUGCAAGUGUAUGGUAUGUGUUUUGGUAUGCUAUAAAAUGCUAUGCUACGUAAUUCCACGGUAUGUCACGUGGUCUGUGUUAAUUUUGAUGUGAUAAUAAAUUGAAUUGCAC